rnacentral:tRNA from 1 species
GGCCGCUUAGCUCAGUUGGUAGAGCGCUACGUUCACAUCGUAGAGGUAGGUGGUUCGAAACCACCAGCGGCUA